rnacentral:misc_RNA from 1 species
CGAUUUGGGAAACUGGAGCGUUAGUGGCAAACGGGUGAGUAACACGUGGGUGACCUACCUCAAAGUGGGGAACAACAGACCGAAAGGUUUGCUAAUACCGCAUUAGUUCGGUGAUUCAGUUUGCCGAAUAAAGCCCCCUUCGGGAGGCGCUUUGAGAGGGGCCCGCGUCCCAUCAGGUAGUUGGUGAGGUAAUGGCCCACCAAGCCGAUGACGGGUAGCUGUUCUGAGAGGAAGAUGGGCCACAAUGGAACUUAGA